CUCCCACCCGUGUCUAUCGUACCUUGUUGCUUCGGCGGGCCCGCCGUUUCGACGGCCGCCGGGGAGGCCUUGCGCCCCCGGGCCCGCGCCCGCCGAAGACCCCAACAUGAACGCUGUUCUGAAAGUAUGCAGUCUGAGUUGAUUAUCGUAAUCAGUUAAAACUUUCAACAACGGAUCUCUUGGUUCCGGCAUCGAUGAAGAACGCAGCGAAAUGCGAUAAGUAAUGUGAAUUGCAGAAUUCAGUGAAUCAUCGAGUCUUUGAACGCACAUUGCGCCCCCUGGUAUUCCGGGGGGCAUGCCUGUCCGAGCGUCAUUGCUGCCCUCAAGCACGGCUUGUGUGUUGGGCCCCCGUCCCCCUCUCCCGGGGGACGGGCCCGAAAGGCAGCGGCGGCACCGCGUCCGGUCCUCGAGCGUAUGGGGCUUUGUCACCUGCUCUGUAGGCCCGGCCGGCGCCAGCCGACACCCAACUUUAUUUUUCUAAGGUUGACCUCGGAUCAGGUAGGGAUACCCGCUGAACUUAAGCAUAUCAAUAAGCGGAGGA
rnacentral:rRNA from 1 species